rnacentral:lncRNA from 1 species
AAAGGGGAAGUUUGGGACGAGAGGGACUAAAAUAGUAGUCACCAAACCCAAAGAAAUUUUACUAUGUUAAGGCGAAUUGAUAAUUAAAGGUACUUCCAUGUGUAUAAAAGCACAAGGGGAGGAGGCCCCUAGUCCAAGUAUCAUAGCAUAGGAGGGUGAACUUGGGCUGGGGGGAAGGGGAAGUGGUCCUAUCCGAUGUGGGUGUGCCAGAGGCUACGGUUUUAGCUUAUUUGAAAGUAAAGUCUAAAGUGUGCCUCUCUUCUCGUGAAAGGGAGCUAGCGGUACCGGAAAAACUUCCUUCACUUCAGGCUAGCUACAAUUGGCAUAUCCACCACUUGAAUGAUUCUAGACGUUUUACAGCAAGAGAAAGCAAGCAAGAAAACGACACUAAACAAGCAAUAAUACUGAAGAAGUGGUCACCCACCGCUUAGGCGGGAAUCCAUAGCUAUAGUGGGGAGCCUGUCUCACCUCACUGGGAGUCAGUUACAACAAGAUUGAAACUAGAACUGCGGAACGGACUGAACCAAAGGCUCUUCCCGGGAAGCGACUAGUUAGUUGAGAACCCUCUGCUUCUGACCCACGUAAGUUGCAUGGUCACCUUCCUCAUCCCCUUUUUGA